rnacentral:lncRNA from 10 species
GCUAUCUCCCGCUUCUAGGGGGAGGGGAGACUCCUCCUUAGAUUCUAGCCCCUUUGGGGCACCUGGGACUGGCCUGUAGUUGAAGACUAAGGGGUCGCGCUGCCACCCCCGUCACUGCGGAGACCUCAGGCCUCUCCACUAAAGACGACCUCUUGUUCGAAAAUCUGGAGUCCGCCUCUGGCUAGAAGAAAGAAAUAUGUCACUCGACCUCUCCGAGUCACUCACUACAGUUUCCAAUUUCAGCUGAGGUUGUUAUCAACGCUUGGCAGUUCCUUUAUCUUUUUGUGAUCAAGGUUCCUUUUCAUUCCACAAAAUAUUCAUGCCAAGUCUUUGCCAUUAUCCUAAAGACUCUGUUCCUCUUCCUUUUGCCUCCCUACUCUCCGCACCACCACUCUUCUUUACAGGGAAAAAAGAAGAGGAAGAAGCAGCUAUGGCCCUUAGUACCAAUUCCUUUGUCUUCUCACAUUUCCAUGCCAGUCUGAAACGUACACAUAUCACUUGCUCAUUUUUACAGCUAAUGACUCCACAUGUGAUCUGAAUCCCAUCCUCUUUGGCAAACCUUAAGACACUGUUUCAAUGACAUUCCAAAUCUCCUUUCUGUAUGUUUAAUCUCUUUCUCACCACUGGCUCCUUCUUUU